UGUCAUCACGCCCUACUCCCUGCAUUCACUGUUUAUUAAAUUCCUCUACUGCACCAACAGUUCUUGAAUGCCUACUAUGUGAUUAACAGUGCAAGCCCUCCAGAUGCAAAAUUUCACUGUAUGGUCACUGCCAUGGGGGAGUUCACAUCCUCACACCACAGCAGAGAGAUCUCAGUGUGGCAAUAAGCAGGUGCAGACACAAAGACACCACCAGGCCUUGCCCAUCCUUUGAAGUACAGCUCAAAACUCCAUUCUUCUAAGAUUUCAGAUAUAUUCAUGAUCUGUGUAUUUGUAAAAAUAAUAGAAGUGGGCAGCUUUAAAAACUACUGUUGCUUUUCAUGUCUCUGAAUCUUAAAAGUAGAUGUACCUAUCAUUACAAAAUUUAGAAACACCUUGAAUACCAGUAGAAAAGAAACAGCUAAAUAAAUUACAGUAAAUUAGUGGAAUAUUAAUGUAAUAUUAAAAGUAAUCAUUAAAAAGACCAAGAAGCAAAAAAUUAAACACAUUAUGUGUAUGCAAAAAUACUAAUAUCUACGGAUAUACAUGAUAGAAAUACAAAGCAUGUUGCAGUUAUAAAUUUUUGACAAAACAGAAUUGUGUCCUCUUAAAAUUUCCUUUAAUAUGAUCGUUUUUAUAAUAAACCUAAAUGUAGGAGUAAAAUAAAAUAAAUCAGUUUCUCUGAUUUCCCUUUCCCUAUAUACAGCUCUAUUAUAUAUUUAUAGAUUCAAAUAUAAAUCUAUAAUAAAUAAUAAAUACAUAUAUUAUAGAUUUAAGCAUGCAUAUCUAUAUCUAUAUGCUAAGUCUUUUGUUGUGUGAAUAUGUGUAUAUGUAUGUUGGUUCUCCAUUCAAGAUAGUUUCUAUGGACAGGAGCAGUCCAGCUCAGAAUAAGUAGUGAAGAAAUUCAUCCUAGAGCCUUGGACACAGUUUCUGAAAAUUCUCUUUGUUUUUGUGCUUUCUAUUCCUGAGAGGACAGUAGGUGAUUCCACUACUUCUUCUGAAUACACCUGCAACUGAGAAAAAUGUGGAAAGCACGUCAGCUCUCCUGCAGAGAGAGCCUCCCAGCCUGGCCAGAGGUCUGGACUCCCCGGCUCCCACAUCCAGAGGUAGGUUCUAUGUCUACACUGUGAGAUGAG
rnacentral:lncRNA from 1 species